rnacentral:lncRNA from 1 species
UGAGGCGAUCCUGGCCUUGCAGUCCGAGGUAUCCCGGCUGAAGAAGGACCUGGAGGAAGGCUUGGUCCAGCUGCCUCACCUAGCACAGAAGAUGGACUAUCUCUCCUCCAAAUACAGGCAGAAUCGUCAGGAGCGCAAGUCUAAAACCAGACCCCAGACCCACCACAGACCAGCCUGCAACAGUGUGUGGAAGCCUUCAAGUAGCACACACAAUUUGAGCGAUCUCAGUUCCAGUCAGAAGAGGAUAGAGGACUGGAUCUCUUCAGACAUGGACCCCAGCAAGAGCAAAGGGUCAGAGGGAAAUGGGAAGGCUUCUGACAGCCAUGCCAAGCAAAGACCACAAAGUAAGUUAUUUUUAUUAUGUAAUGAUAAUAACGUCAACAUGUUGGCGUCAUUGCGAUUGAUCAAAUUAUGUCCUUCUUUGUAACUUCAAAACAAAAACCAUACAUAUGUGCAGUUUUGCGUUUUAUUGGUAUACAUACUGUAGUGCUUCUCAUGUUUCCGCGGUCAGCAGCCAUCAUGGAGAGUUUUCACUCGAAGGAGAGGUGGUCUCUUCUCUCCUCUCCGUCUCUUCAGAAGCCCCUUCUCCAGGUCAGCUACGGCUCCUCCUGCAGCCUGCCUGCAAGCUACAAAGUGAGGGAGCCACCGCUGCACACCAUGUCCCAUCACAGAAAGCGCUCCACCCAGUCAGACACGGCACUCCUGCCCAGUAAUGUGUACUUCCAGCGGACACCGUCCCCAGCAUCAGUGCCGCCAAAGACUGGCAGCAGGACAGGCAGACGCAGAAGGAGCAAGGAGGAAGAAAUGAAUAGAACUCUAGAGCAGGCUAUUGAGGUGGCCCGCAGCAUGAAGAGGACCACCGACAGAAUGGCCAUGAGACUGUCAGCUGACCUGGCUGAGGCUCAUCUCCACAGGAAACUGCGCAGCCAGCAGCCAGCAGGGGGCAGGAAACACCAUCAUAACAAGCAGAGUACAGAUCAGUUCACGCUGUAAUCAUCAAUCUGCACUAUGACACCUGAUGUAGAAUAUAUCUUUGUUGGAUUAUAAAUUAUUUAAGGACCUGUUUGUGUUAAGAUAUUGUUUUUUUCUACAUGGUUGUAUGUUUGUGUAUUUAUACAUAGAAACGUUUGAAAUCACACUGCAAAAAUAAAAGAAUAACAAUACUAACCUUUUUAAAUUGUAAGA